GUCACGAUCUCGGCUCACUGCAACCUCCACUUCCCAGGUUCAAGCAAUUCUCCUGCCUCAGCCUCCCGAGUAGCUAGGACCACAGGCAUGCACCACCACAACCAGCUAAUUUUUGUAUUUUUUAGUAGAGACGUGGUUUCACCAUGGUCUCAAUCUCUUGACCUCGUGAUCCACCUACCUCGGCCUCCCAAAGUGCUGAGAUUACAGGCUUGAGCCACCACGCCCGGCCAAUAGUAAUUAAUUUUAACUGACCAUUAGAAAUCUCUUUUGGAAUGUCACUCUCCUUUGGUGGUUGUUGUGAAGACAAAUUGGAUUAAUACAUGAAGAGUCCUUAGAACUGUGCCUGAUAGAUGGUAUAACUCUGAGAAGUGUUAUAAAAGCACCAGCUCUCUAGAUAAUUACAGUGAUUCCCAUUUUACAGAUGAGAGAACCGAGGUAGAGAGGAGUCACAUCACUCUGCCUAGACUACAUAACUUUUAUGUAGAACUGGGAUUCAAAUCCAGGUCUGUCUUUCAAUCCCACAGUGCUAACCACUGUGCUACACAUAGCCAUAUGCCUGGCUUUGGAGGUGGGGGCAAGUGAAGGAAUAUAGGGGCAGUUAUUCACAGGUUAGCAAGAAUUAAUUCUGUCAGAUUGAUUUCCUACUGAAAAUCAGAUGAGCUCAGCCACACUCAGAAAAUGGAAAUUUUGAUGAGUGAGCAGGACAAGUAGGUUAUCUGGAGAAAGAAUUGGGGUAAGGGACUACAGUGGGGUUUUUUCUUUUUUCUCUCUUUCUUUUUUUUUUUUUUUUUUUUGAGAUGGUAUCUUGCUCUGUUGCCAGGCUGGAGUGCAGUGGUAUGAUCUCGGCUCACUGCAACCUCCGUCUCCCAGGUUCAAGUGAUUCUCCUGACUCAGCCUCCCAAGUAGUUGGGACUAUAGGCAUGUGCCACCAUGCCUGGCUAUUUUGUAUUUUUAGUGGAGAUGGGGUUUUACCAUGUUGUCCAGGCUGGUCUCAAACCCCUGACCUCAAGUGAUCUGCCCACCUUGGCCUCCCAAAGUGCUGAGAUUAUAGGCAUGAGCCACCGCACCCGGCCUGCAGUAGGUUUUGAGUAGGAAGCUUGGAGACAGAGAUCCCCAUAGCUGGGAGAUGCAGAAAAAAGGGCAAUUUGGAGUAAGUUGAAAAUGAACACUGACCUAUGUGAAAUUUUAUUUACAUCUAACCCUAUACCCAGGAGAUGGGGAAGAUUUAUAUCUUUCAUCCCACCUACAGCUCCAGAUAACUUGGUAGGCUACGAGACAGGUUAAAUAAAUUUUUGUGGGCUGGCUGGAAACAGAACGCUUCCAUUCCCAUUUGUAAUGUGUUUCCUUGGGGAAAUGCGUGCUGAGUUCCAAACAAAUGACUUGUAAUUUAAUACAACAUGCGUAUACUCUGCGUCUCCAUGGCUGGGCACUGGACUAGGUGCUGAGGAUAUUAAAAUAAAUAAAGCAAGGUUCCUGUCCUUGGGCAGCCGGAGCCCUGUGAAGGAGGGAAAUGUGUGAGGAACUAAGGGACGACAUGUUAAGCGCAGUAGGAGAGCUCAACAGCCUCCAGGAGAGGAGAAACGUGUAUGGGCUCAAGUUCAAGAUGGCGAGGGUCCUGUCAAGGGCCCUUCGCAGGAGCGAUCCCCACACCCUCCUGCCUGCCACCAUGUAAGAUGUUCUUUGGCUCGUCCUUUGACUUCUGCCAUGAUUAUGAGGCCUCCCUAGCCACAUGGAACUAUGAGUCCAUUAAACGUCUUUUCUUUGUAAAUUA